UCGGCCUCCCAGAGUGCUGGGAUGGCAGGCGUGAGCCACUGCACCCGGCCUAUUUCAGCUGUUUUCUUAAAGCACAAAGCAACCUACACAUUCUUCUGUGAUACCAGCAGGCACCUUGAAAUAGGUCGCCCAGGAGGCAGUGGUUGCAGUGAGCCGUGAUUGCACUAUUGCACUCCAGUCUGGGCAACAAGAGCAAAACUCCAGACUCCGUCUCCUAAAAAGGAAAACAGCUGAAAUAUAACGCAGACUGAGGCCCAGCCCAGAACGGGUAAGCUGGGUGCACGCACCGUGAAAACAGCACCUGGGCCUGCUCCCGUUCUCCCCGCUUUGCAGACGCCGCCUGAACCUCGGUGCCUCCUUGAGGUCGAGGCUGUGAGUUAAACGGCUCCACCCCAGCCCGGCCCCAGGUUGGCCCAGCCAUUCCCUGUCGGGGGCCAGGGAGGAAAGGGAGCUGUGUGGGCACCAGAGGGGCAAACUGAGGUCUGAGGGUCGGGGAACAGCCCGGCAGUAGGAACUGGGAGCGGAGCACAGGGGAAAUGUGGAUACGCUCAGCUCCCUACAACCGCAGUGAGCGUGUGUGCAGGAGGGCCUCACGGGGCGGUGUGAGUCUGGCCUGCCUGGGCUUGGGGGGUUUUACAGACACAUUUCAGCCCCGCAGCAGGGGCUGGGGAGGUCCCGCUCAUGACAGUCUCUGCACCAAGGGCAGGAGGGGCGGAAGCUGCCUGGAGAACUACCACUCCAUGGCCUGUGGGCGUCCGGGGUGAGCGGCGGCGAUGGCGUCCCAUGGAGGAAACACUGGAAGUCGUGUGGAAGGUGGGAAGAUGCAGGCUGGAUUGCGGAGAAGGACUGAGACCCUGCCUGGAGCGUCUCCACCAGCAGCAGGCCGGCCCCUGAGGGGAGAGAGCAGAGAGCUGGAGUCCUGGCCAGCCACGCAGGGAUCCUUCAGCGGGACACAGGGGACACAGCAGGCAACAGGAGCUCAGAACGCAAGACCAGCCCACGGCUUCCGCCUCCUGUGCAGCCUCCGCAAUGUGAAGACAAGAAUGAAGGCCUUUACGAUGAGCCACUUCAGCUUCAUGAAUACUCGCGGCGACCCUGCUGAGUAACUUGUGGACUUUGGCGUCUGGCCAGUCAUGCAGGAUCCGGCACAGGACGUACAGCUCAGCGCUCGGGAGGGGGUCCCUGAAAAAGUCACCUGGUUUAAAGACAAAAGGCGACACAUCCGUCAGGUGUCCUUUUAAGAGAUAGAAGAGGAGACAGACUCAGAGCAGAAGGCCAUGUGGAGACAGGCAGAGACUGGGGUGAUGCAGCCACAAGCCCAGGGACGCCUGGAGCCCCCGGGAGCUGGGAGAGGCAGGAAGG